ACAUAGUGGCUGAGACAACACACUAUGCCAAAAGGACUAUUCAUCCCAAUAGUCAAUCAUAAGCCCAGCCCUUCCUGCAGAAAAAAGCUCAGUAGUUUGUACCCAACAGGCAUUGGAAGAGAUCCUGAACUGAUAAUCAGGACUUUUAGGCUGGUUGAAAAAAAAAUAACAACUUGUGGUUGGAACAUAAAGGAGGAGAAAAUGUUGUUUGUACAUAUUGAGUGAUGGAGUUGACAGAUGAAGACAAGGUUUGGAGUGGGAGUUGAACCAGCAACCCAAGGAUCACAGCCUAAAGUCCUCCGCUCUACCAACUGAGCUAUCGAAGGGUGCUGGGGGAACAAAGGCAGAAAACAUAGUGGCUGAGACAACACACUAUGCCAAAAGGACUAUUCAUCCCAAUAGUCAAUCAUAAGCCCAGCCCUUCCUGCAGAAAAAAGCUCAGUAGUUUGUACCCAACAGGCAUUGCCCUUCCUGCAGAAAAAAGCUCAGUAGUUUGUAUCCAACAGGCAUUGCAAGAGAUCCUGAACUGAUAAUCAGGACUUUUAGGCUGGUUGAAAAAAAAAACAACUUGUGGUUGGAACAUAAAGGAGGAGAAAAUGUUGUUUGUACAUUUUGAGUGAUGGAGUUGACAGAUGAAGACAAGGUUUGGAGUGGGAGUUGAACCAGCAACCCAAGGAUCACAGCCUAAAGUCCUCCGCUCUACCAACUGAGCUAUCGAAGGGUGCUGGAGGAAUAAAGGCAGAAAACAUAGUGGCUGAGACAACACACUAUGCCAAAAGGACUAUUCAUCCCAAUAGUCAAUCAUAAGCCCAGCCCUUCCUGCAGAAAAAAGCUCAGUAGUUUGUACCCAACAGGCAUUGCCAGAGAUCCUGAACUGAUAAUCAGGACUUUUAGGCUGGUUGAAAAAAAUAACAACUUGUGGUUGGAACAUAAAGGAGGAGAAAAUGUUGUUUGUACAUUUUGAGUGAUGGAGUUGACAGAUGAAGACAAGGUUUGGAGUGGGAGUUGAACCAGCAACCCAAGGAUCACAGCCUAAAGUCCUCCUCUCUACCAACUGAGCUAUCGAAGGGUGCUGGGGGAACAAAGGCAGAAAACAUAGUGGCUGAGACAACACACUAUGCCAAAAGGACUAUUCAUCCCAAUAGUCAAUCAUAAGCCCAGCCCUUCCUGCAGAAAAAAGCUCAGUAGUUUGUACCCAACAGGCAUUGCCCUUCCUGCAGAAAAAAGCUCAGUAGUUUGUAUCCAACAGGCAUUGCAAGAGAUCCUGAACUGAUAAUCAGGACUUUUAGGCUGGUUGAAAAAAAAAUAACAACUUGUGGUUGGAACAUAAAGGAGGAGAAAAUGUUGUUUGUACAUUUUGAGUGAUGGAGUUGACAGAUGAAGACAAGGUUUGGAGUGGGAGUUGAACCAGCAACCCAAGGAUCACAGCCUAAAGUCCUCCGCUCUACCAACUGAGCUAUCGAAGGGUGCUGGAGGAAAAAAGGCAGAAAACAUAGUGGCUGAGACAACACACUAUGCCAAAAGGACUAUUCAUCCCAAUAGUCAAUCAUAAGCCCAGCCCUUCCUGCAGAAAAAAGCUCAGUAGUUUGUACCCAACAGGCAUUGCCAGAGAUCCUGAACUGAUAAUCAGGACUUUUAGGCUGGUUGAAAAAAAAAUAACAACUUGUGGUUGGAACAUAAAGGAGGAGAAAAUGUUGUUUGUACAUUUUGAGUGAUGGAGUUGACAGAUGAAGACAAGGUUUGGAGUGGGAGUUGAACCAGCAACCCAAGGAUCACAGCCUAAAGUCCUCCGCUCUACCAACUGAGCUAUCGAAGGGUGCUGGGAGAACAAAGGCAGAAAACAUAGUGGCUGAGACAACACACUAUGCCAAAAGGACUAUUCAUCCCAAUAGUCAAUCAUAAGCCCAGCCCUUCCUGCAGAAAAAAGCUCAGUAGUUUGUACCCAACAGGCAUUGCCAGAGAUCCUAAACUGAUAAUCAGGACUUUUAGGCUGGUUGAAAAAAAAUAACAACUUGUGGUUGGAACAUAAAGGAGGAGAAAAUGUUGUUUGUGCAUUUUGAGUGAUGGAGUUGACAGAUGAAGACAAGGUUUGGAGUAGGAGUUGAACCAGCAACCCAAGGAUCACAGCCUAAAGUCCUCCGCUCUACCAACUGAGCUAUGGAAGAGUGCUGGGGGAAAAAAGGCAGAAAACAUAGUGGCUGAGAAAACACACUAUGCCAAAAGGACUAUUCAUCCCAAUAGUCAAUCAUAAGCCCAGCCCUUCCUGCAGAAAAAAGCUCAGUAGUUUGUAUCCAACAGGCAUUGCCAGAGAUCCUGAACUGAUAAUCAGGACUUUUAGGCUGGUUGAAAAAAAAAUAACAACUUGUGGUUGGAACAUAAAGGAGGAGAAAAUGUUGUUUGUACAUUUUGAGUGAUGGAGUUGACAGAUGAAGACAAGGUUUGGAGUGGGAGUUGAACCAGCAACCCAAGGAUGACAGCCUAAAGUCCUCCGCUCUACCAACUGAGCUAUCGAAAGGUGCUGGGGGAACAAAGGCAGAAAACAAAGUGGCUGAGACAACACACUAUGCCAAAAGGACUAUUCAUCCCAAUAGUCAAUCAUAAGCCCAGCCCUUCCUGCAGAAAAAAGCUCAGUAGUUUGUAUCCAACAGGCAUUGCAAGAGAUCCUGAACUGAUAAUCAGGACUUUUAGGCUGGUUGAAAAAAAUAAACAACUGGUGGUUGGAACAUAAAGGAGAAGAAAAUGUUGUUUGUACAUUUUGAGUGAUGGAGUUGACAGAUGAAGACAAGGUUUGGAGUGGGAGUUGAACCAGCAACCCAAGGAUCACAGCCUAAAGUCCUCCUCUCUACCAACUGAGCUAUCGAAGGGUGCUGGGGGAACAAAGGCAGAAAACAUAGUGGCUGAGACAACACACUAUGCCAAAAGGACUAUUCAUCCCAAUAGUCAAUCAUAAGCCCAGCCCUUCCUGCAGAAAAAAGCUCAGUAGUUUGUACCCAACAGGCAUUGCAAGAGAUACUGAACUGAUAAUCAGGACUUUUAGGCUGGUUGAAAAAAAUAAUAACUUGUGGUUGGAACAUAAAGGAGGAGAAAAUGUUGUUUGUACAUUUUGAGUGAUGGAGUUGACAGAUAAAGACAAGGGUUUGGAGCAGGAGUUGAAGGAGCAACCCAAGGAUCACAGCCUAAAGUCCUCCACUCUACCAACUGAGCUAUCGAAGGGUGCUUGGGCAACAAAGGCAGAAAACAUAGUGGCUGAGACAACACACUAUGCCAAUAGGACUAUUCAUCCCAAUAGUCAAUCAUAAGCCCAGCCCUUCCUGCAGAAAAAAGCUCAGUAGUUUGUACCCAACAUGCAUUGCCAGAGAUCCUGAACUGAUAAUCAGGACUUUUAGGCUGGUUGAAAAAAAUAACAACUUGUGGUUGGAACAUUAUGGUGGAGUUUAUCUUGUUCCUGUUUGUACUUUUUGAGUGAUGGAGUUGACAGAUGAAGACAAGGUUUGGGGCGGAAGUUGAACCAGCAACCCAAGGAUCACAGCCUAAAGUCCUCCGCUGUACCAACUGAGCUAUCAAAGGGUGCUGGGGCUUCAAAGUCAAAAAAACAUAGUGGCUGAGACAACACACUAUGCCAAAAGCCCAGCCCUUCCUGCAGAACAAAGCUUUGCAGUUUGUACCCAACAGGCAUUGCCAGAUACCCAGAACUGAUAAUCAGGACUUUUAGGCUGGUUGAAAAGAUAAAAAAAUGUGGUUGGAAAAUAAGGGAGGAGUAAAUGUUGUUUGUGUUUGUACAUUUUGAGUGAUGGAGUUGACAGAUGAAGACAAGGCUUGGUAUAAUUUCAAUGUGAUUAGACCAAGAACAUUGCUCAUACCAAUGAAAAGCACAUCCUUCAGGCCAGAGUUGAAACAGCGUCCUAAGGGCCACAGCAAUUUCUAUCAGGAACAUACUACAGUCCUCUGCUCUACCAACUGAGCAGCCCUACGUGCAGAACAAAGCUUUGCAUUUUGUACCUUACAGUCAUUGCCAAGGACCCAGAUGAUGAUCAGGACUUUUAUGCUGGGUGAAAAAAAAAAAUUAAGCAAUGGAGUUUUCAGAGCUAGGCAAGGCCUGGCAUUAUUUCAAUGUGAUUAGACCUAGAACUUACUUCAAGCCGGAGUUGAAUCAGCGACCUAAGGAACACCCUACAGUGAUCUGCUCUUCCAACUGAGCUAUCGAAGGGAGCACUUUGGUCACAACUUUAGAAAACACAGGGGCUGACACCAUAUAAUUAUAUUGAUCCUCAGUUCACUCACGCUUCUUGAGUGUCGUUCGUGGAAAUGUGAUGCUACAGAGAGUUAAACUUUAGGCUGACCCAAUUUUUAAAGUAAGUGUUGCAUUCACAGUGAGUGAAUUUUUUGAAAGAAAACAACCAAGUUAAUCAGUUUCAACAUCAAAUAUCUUUGUAGUGUAUUCGAAUAAAUAGAGCAUUUGGAAAAUAUUCUUUCUUUAUUCAUGUUUUACACAAUGUCCCAACUUCACACAGAAAUUGUGGUUGGUAAAAACAGAAGACUUGAGGUAAUAUCAACCUCUGGGUUUUCAUUUUUUUAAUUAAUAUUUGAAGUUUUUUUACGUCUCCCUUUGUAUCCCUCUCUCUCUGUCACACACACACACACACACACACACACACACACACACACACACACACACACACACACACACACACACACACACACACACACACACACACACACACACACACAGGGCCCGUCAGUGUCUCUCAUUUUCAGACUAAUCUAUUUUUGUCAUGGCUGGCCGGUUGAGACUCAACUUUUCUCAUCAACUCUUACAUGGCGCUUGGCUUCCAGACAGACAGCGUGAGGACGAGGGUGCUGGGAGUGAGUGUGGGUGUGAGAGAGAGAGCCAGGGCUGAUUUUAAACCAGUGCCUGGAGAGAGGAAGGAUGUGGACUGCACAUCAAUUACAGAUGACGAGACCUAAAAACAGGGAUAUGAUUGUCUUAAAAGUGAAGAUCAAUGUCAGAUUAUUCUGAAUCACACUUUGUCACAUAUUAAAUUUCCCCUUGGGGAUCAAUAAAGUUGUCAUGUAGCUUGAUCCCGAAAGCUGCAUGACAACGGCAGGUAGCAGGUUUUGAUUCUAUGCAGGAUAAUCCACAACUCUUAGCCAUGACCCUUUGCUCCCCUCCUCACCCCUUUUAACUACAGCUUCUGUGAGGAGAUUUUAAUUGGUGUUGAAACAGACUGAAAUAAACAGUGGCGCUUUUUUAUGACCUACAAAAACAAGCAAUUCAGUUAUCAAAUCAUUUACAAUUUUUCAAGUGCCAUUUUAGUUGCUUUAACUUCUGCAAGGGGCUAGGCGUUAAAUGAAAAUCUUUUCUUUCUUCAUGUCAAAUAUCAAUGUUAAAAGGCCACAAAAAAGCAGGGUGAUAUUUCUGUUCGAGGAGUUCAAUCUAAAUGACAAGGGAAUAAAAGAUCAGCACAAGCAGAGUUCCUUAUUUGACUUUUGCAUAGAGUUUUAGUUUAACUUCAAAUAACAUGAAAGGGAGAGUGGGAGAGACAAGAAACAGUGAUUGAGACACAGGGUGGAGAGACAAGAAACAAAAACUUCAUUUUCUCAGUGUUACUCGGUUUACCUGUAAAGAAUUUGCAGUGCAGACUGGAGUCUCAGAGAGACCCUGUUUCAUGCAAACAGCUCCCAAGUGCAUCAAGUGUGCACUAAUGUCAGCACAUUUCUAUGAAAUAAAUACAUCCUCAUUACUCUGUGUGUUUAAUGAAGUCAUCACAGGCCAGUUCAACUUUAACUCGCUGUGUAAAGCUUGCCUGUCAAAGAAUAACUGUUUUGGAUAAAACAGGCUCCUGUUAGAACUUACUAGGUUUGAAUAAUUCUGCACAGUCAAAUUAAAACAUAAAUUUGCACAGAAGAAAGCCGGACAUUAUCUCACAGACUGCCUUUUCUAUGCAUACAUAUAUUUAUUUUUAAUGCUUGUAAGACUUCAUUUUGUAAGUUGUAACUUUAUGUUGAGAACAUGAAUGAGCUGACUAAAGUGUCUGCUCUCUUGAGUCCACAAAGCUGAUAACACCUCUCACAGUUUCUUCAUAGAUUUAAGGGAUUUGGUUCGAAAAUACUGAUCUAUUGUAAAGUGCUUUUAUUGAUAUCUUUUUUUGUGAAUAUUUACACAAAGUUCAUACGGUUUAUACCCAGAACCGUACAAAAGUAAGAAGUUUAUAUCAAAGACCUGACUUCUUUCUUCCCCUGUGAGCUGAGAGGACAGAUGUGGGAUUUCUUGUUGUCCUCUCUGCAGUCAGCUGCUUUUAUCUCUGUUCCAUACAACUCUUCUUCAGAGAAAGGACAUAGUCUGCGGUUUUUGUCUGGUCUGUUUCACUAUUCUCCCAAAUCUGCCGAUCAACAGAGCGAGCCACAAAACUGCUUCAGUGAUCAAAGUGCAGAGGUGUAGCAGAGGUGCAUCCGUGCAGAGAAAUCAAAGAUCUCUGACAGAAGCUGGUUUUGACUGUGUUGUGUUUGUUUGGAGUGGAACUAACACACA